GCAGCGCCUCUUGCAUCUCUCUUUCCCCUUUUUUUUUCUGAAAAACUCUUCAUCUUUCUCACGUUGAGCAACAACAACUAUGGCCUCUCUCAGUGAAACCAAGUCUACUGCAAGAACGUGGCUCUCUCUCUUGGAACAAAACAACAACAGCGAAAGCCUCUCUUUGCUCUUCUCACGCUCUCUCGGAUUCUCACCGUGAGAAACAAUGGCGAACUCAAACUUUCCCUCGGUUUUGUGACGAACAACAAAAACAAACGAAAACCUCUCUUGACCUUGACUCACAGCGGCCAUGGAAGAGAAAUCAGAAGCAAAAUUCUAGGCUUGUGUCUUUAAUUUCGUUUUCAAUUUUGUUUAACAGUAUAACAACAAGUGUUUAUGCAUUUUUUUAUUUUCGGUUUCCAGAUGAACACUAUAUUUGCAGAUAUGAUUUAAGCAGUAAUAUUGAGAUUGAGAGUGGAAACGACUUACUUGAGGCAAGGAGGAUUUUGCCGGAUUUAUGUUGAGGUAUGUAUCUUAUUCUGCUUUUGGAAACCGAAUUUGUUGUUGUUGAUGUUAUUCUGAGUUGUUGGAUUGAUGUUGCUGAACUGCUUCUGAAUUGUUCGCGAGUUGCUGCUGCGGAUGAUUGAUUCUGCACCGCGAGUUGUUGUUGACACAACUGUUGUCGCUGCUGAAUUUUGGAAUGGUUGUUGCUGUGAUGCUGAGUCGUGAUUUUGCAGCGUCGGUGUUUCGAUUGCAGGAACGAUUGGAAGCUCGAAGACUGUUGAAUUUUUUUUUUGAGAGUUUGUUGUGAUGAAGAUGAACAAGCUGCUUUUUGAUGAAGGUGAUGCCACAACACCUCUCUUUUUGGAUUUAUGGGAUACUUGAAGUUCAACUUCAAGUGGUUGGAAGCUUGAAGAUGAAGAUCUUCAAGUAAGGUAUGAAGAACUACCUUUUCCUCCUUCCUUACUUUGGAACUAAGAAACUUUACAAUUAUGAGAGAAGUGAGAAAGCAAGUAGUUAAGGUUGCUUUGGUGUCUUUUGCUUCAAAGAGAUCAUUUCCUAUUUAUAGGCAAAGCUUAGGAUGUGUUAGGAAUUAGGAAACUUGAUUGGAAUGUUAUGGUCAUUGCAAGAAUAGGAAUAUAUUCUUCAUCAUUGCAAGAAUAAGAAUAAGAAUAUAUUCUUCAUCAUUGCAAGAAUAAGAAUAAGAAUAAGAAUAUAUUCCUUAUGUCAUUAUGCAAAGAUAUUCUCAUGAUAUAAGCCAUGUGUGUAAAUUUUUAUGUCAUUUUAUGAUAUCUCUAAGUUGCAUAAUUUUAUGACAUAAAAAUCUCUCUUUGACAUUCUUUGACUUUUGCUAAUUUCACCCCUCUUUUUGUUUCUUUUUUCAUGUUGCAUGAGGACCUUUGAAGAAAGAAUGAAGAAAUUUGAACUUGAAGAAUGAAGACUUUGAAGAAUGAAGAAUUCAAGAAAGUCUUUGAAGUUUUUUUCUUUUUUCUUGUAAUUCAUUCCAACUUGAAAAAUGUAUGAACUUUGUAUUCUUGAAAUGAUGUAAUUCUUGAACUUUAGAUAAAGUUCCUUUUGUAAUCCAUGUGUAACUUAGAACUUGUUUUAUGUAAAAGAAUUCCAUUUGGAAAUAUUCUUUUAGAAUCUUGAAUGAAAUUGUAUGGAACUUGAAUA